CCAUAUCUCUGACAAGUAUAUGUCCUGCGUUUAUAUACUACAACACUUAUGGUACAUCCUCAUUUGGUUGUUUUCCAAGAACUACAAAAACCAAAGUAGCCAGGUAUCUUGCAUUUUCAGCUAUUCGACGCCGCGCGCAUCUACUUCAACUGGUAGAAUCGUGUACAACUUGUGGAAUAAUCCAGGAAAAAGAUGGUGUCGCCAUUAAUUCUAUACAUAGAUAGACCCAGAAGUAACCUUAAAUUCGUCAACUAUAUGGUCACUUUCUUCAUGAAUUCCCC
rnacentral:lncRNA from 1 species